CGGAUCACAUUAUGUGACAUAUCAUUCAAGUUUCUGACCUAUCAGCUUUAGACGGUAGGGUAUUGGCCUACCGUGGCUAUGACGGGUAACGGGGAAUUAGGGUUCGAUUCCGGAGAGGGAGCCUGAGAAACGGCUACCACAUCUAAGGAAGGCAGCAGGCGCGCAAAUUACCCAAUCCUAAUACAGGGAGGUAGUGACAAGAAAUAACAAUACAGAGCCUUACGGUUUUGUAAUUGGAAUGAGUUAAGUAUAAACCCCUUAACAAGUAUCAAUUGGAGGGCAAGUCUGGUGCCAGCAGCCGCGGUAAUUCCAGCUCCAAUAGCGUAUAUUAAAGUUGUUGCAGUUAAAAAGCUCGUAGUUAAUUUUCUGUUAAUUUUUAUAUACAAUGYUACGGUAUUUAUAUAAUAUUAACAUAAUUCAUAUUACUUUUUAGUAUAUGAAACUUUACUUUGAGAAAAUUAGAGUGCUUAAAGCAGGCUAUUGCCUUGAAUACUCCAGCAUGGAAUAAUAUUAAGGAUUUUUAUUCUUCUUAUUGGUUCUAGAAUAAAAAUAAUGAUUAAUAGGGACAGUUGGGGGCAUUUGUAUUUAACAGUCAGAGGUGAAAUUCUUAGAUUUGUUAAAGACAAACUACUGCGAAAGCAUUUGCCAAGGAUGUUUUCAUUAAUCAAGAACGAAAGUUAGGGGAUCGAAGAC
rnacentral:rRNA from 1 species